UAAUAAGUGUUUUAUGGCACUUUUUAAAUCCAUAUCCCACCUUGUGUGCAAUGUCAGUCGAUCUUCUUCAUGGAGAUCGACCAAACAUCAACCUUUAUUUUUUAACUCUCUGUCUGAAAAAUAUUAUGAAUAACAAUUCAAAAUA
rnacentral:misc_RNA from 1 species